AAAGCAUUCACAUCCCCUGGUUGAAGUA
rnacentral:sRNA from 1 species